rnacentral:lncRNA from 1 species
AUUGUACUUCCAGGCUGUUGUAAAAGACUCAGGGUUGGUGUAGUGAAUGACGUAAAUAUAAACCGGGUUGGUGUAGUGAAUGACCAUCACAGCUCAUAAGAGGUUGGUUCCUGAAAAAGUACAGUAGAUAAUACACAAUACAAAGACAAGGUUUCACUGCUAGUAUAGAAUAAUAAAAGUAAUACAAUUCAUCACCACAUACACACAUAUAUAUAUAUAUAAUAUUUGAAUUGGACAUAGCCCUGUGGAGCAUUUUAUAUUUCUCAAAUGUUCUUUCCUGAUAAAGGUAUCCUGUCUCGUUCUUCCAAUUCUUCACAAUUUAUAUUUUUUCCUUUUUAAUAGUUUCCUACUUUAAGAAGAAAUUGGUUGAAAUUCAGUGACCAGCAGGUUCUGAUCCAGUUUCUUUGCUGUAGAAUAUACACCAAAUUUUGUAUUUGUAUGAGGUAACAAAACCAACCAGGUCAGGAUUUAAAGAGAUAUUUAUGGCAUGACUAAAUUAGGAUUAUUAUUUUUCCCCCAGUGGGAUGUUUCACCUUUUUUCCUUUGAAAAAAUAGUUAGAAGGAACUAUUUUUCAUUAUGGCAUGGCAGGAAGGGAUGCUGUUAUUGAUGGUGUUAUUUGAGGAAUGCCCAAGGUUUCCUUGGACAUAGGAACCUAGUUAUGUUAAGAGGUUUAGAUUGGAGUAAAUACCUGUUAACAAAUAUAAGCAGUUUUAUACCUAUGUAACUACGAAAAGGGAGCUCACUUCUUAAAACGUUCACUUACUCGCUUUCUUCCUUUUUGGAUUAUGUUCCUCCCCAAGUGCUAAUUAAUACAUACUAAGAUGUGAAAUCAUUAUUACCAGUGUACAUUACCUUGUCCUUUUUUGACAUUGUUGUGCUGAUUCCCUAUUUGUAUUUGUCCUUUAGAAUUUCCCAGUCUGUUUUAGCCUUCAGAGCUAUAAACAAGCUUUGUGUUAUUUCUCAAUUUCCCUUUCUCUCAGCUGAUUUGCUCACUGAAACCAUUAUUAAGUAUAUUGAACACUUAUCCCAAUACUGAUCCCUGGAGUGCUUCACUCAACUUCUUUCCACUCUGAGAAGCAGCCAUUAAUUACAAGUCUUUGUUUCCUAUCACUUAGCUAAUUUUUAAUCCACAACAGGAUUUUACCUCCCUACCCUGUGGUUAUUUUCCUUAAUAGUCUCAUCAGCGGCUUUUGACAAUCCAAGUAAAUUACUUGAAAAAGACCUUCUUUUAUCCUGUUUGAUUAACUCUUUCCAAGACCUGUGAUGUCUCAAAGAGGCAAGAUUUUCUUUUCACAGAGGUUUGACCUUAUCAAUUUAUGCUUAUCCAAGUAGGGCAUUAUUUUCUCCUUAAUUAUAUUCUUUCUCAACCUCUCCUGAAUUAGGACCGAGAAGCUCAUCAGUCUCUAAUUUCAGUUUUCAUUGUAAUAUUGGCAACUAUAUACAUCUUUAAAUAUUGCUUGUGCUAUAUUUGCAUUAAGGGCCUAUUUAAAUUCCUCAGGCAUGGUGAUUUACUUGGCUUGGAAUUCCCACAAUGUUCCCUAAUCUUUCCUUUAGAGAUUUGCUGUAAUGCUACGGCACACUUGUAUCAUACUGUGUAACAGUGGUAUCUGCUCCAUCUUUAAUCAUAAAGAUUAAUGCAAAUAAGCCAAUUCUUUUCCCAGCAGUCCAUUAAUCCUCCCUAAUAGCACCCUUCACCUUUUGUUGGCCAGAAGAUUCAGGGACUUACACUGAAACCUCACUACUGGAUGUUUUGCAUUCCCCUAUUGGUCAUUUCAGUGUCCUUGUAAAGUUGGAAACUUGUGAAUGGCAAAGUCCCUGGGGGAGGAAAUGAGGGCUAGCAAAGCAGGUAGUUCAAAGUAUUACUAGCAAAAGCAAGGACAUUCAAUAGAUAGCACUACCAGAUAAAAUAUGAAAGAAAGUUUUUGUAGCACUAGCUAAAUUCUGGGAUGCUCGUUAAUAAAAGCAGUAUUGGUGUAAUAUAUUAUUUGUAUGUGCAAUUACACUUUUGCCCAAAAUAGCAGAAGCUUUCAGCUUUCUCUACAAGCAAUUAAGAGGCAAAUCUAACUUCGUAUUAUUAGUGUGGCGAGGCCUGUGACCACCCUGUUCCCUAGACAACACACAGCAUAUUGGUUUGGUAUUAAAUAAGGCCACAACUUUAUUGGUUACAGAUGUAAAGGUUUGGUCAUAGGCACUGAGGUAAGCAACUGCAUAUGUUACUCCCGCCCGUCCUCUGGGAGUGUUUCUAAGGGUGAAGCCAGUGGGGGGGGGGGACACGCCCUAUGACGUAUGUCAAAUAACACGCCCUGUGAUAUAUGUCAAAUAGGGGUGUCCCCCAAAUGGUCUCCAUUUGAGGAGUGGUCUGGCCCUAGCCCCCUUCUGGGUAUUGGACAGGAGCCACUCUUACCAGAUCCUUUUAACAGAAUUCCCUUACCCGUGGAGGGGCAGGCAGAGGCUACAACCUCCCCUCCAACGAAGACUAGGCUUAACCAAUCCCUGUCUGCCUUACAAAGUUGAGAUGAUUGCUAUGAGGUAGGUGAAAACUCAAAUAGCGGUGCCAAUUUGCUAGAUGGGAGAAAAUCCUGCCCGGCCCCUAAAACCAACAACCGACAUUGUCCAUAGAAAGGUUGUACCAUCAGCAAAAACCCUAAUCUGAGGGUGGGUGGGAGAACUGGCAUGGUGAGUGAGAGGUCGAAAUGCCCAGCAGGCUAGGCAUUUAUCCUUCCUCUGGGCAUGGGACCAGGCACUGCUAUUGAUCAGUUGGUCCCACACCCAGGAGAAUGCCAUCUAUAGAUUCCUUUCGCCAUGGGCCAAUUUGGCAGUAGGAGGAUGGUCCAGCCUGCAAUAGACCAGUUCCCAGAGGAGGCCUGGGGCCCACCCGCAAAGCCACCUGCCCAAGAAGGGCAAAUGGACUUCCAGAGCAGGAGUACAAAGAGUCUUUGGCCAGAGGAUUGGGGAGAAUUGUUUUUCUCUGACCUCAACGUUUAACAAACGGUGGAAAAGUACAGAUAGUAAUAAGUACCUUAUUAACAGUAGUAAUUCACAAAACAAUUGCUGAUAAUGCAGACAUCCUGGCAUUGGUAAACCAAUUAAUACAUUUAGACCUAGUCUGCACAACACGAUAUGUCAGAACCUAGCUAAAUGAGACAAUAUCAAUCUGCAUACUUCUGGAGAGCACUGAGGCUAGUGGUUAAAAUCUCUCUUCACUAAUCAUGAGCUGUAGUCAACAAAUGUGACUACACUUUGUGGUUAGCAUCACAAGCACUUGUGAAUUCCUUUCCAGAAGCCAUCACAUUUGUGUGGUCUUGCUAUACCAAGCUUUAUUGUGUCAUGUGAUCCUGGUCAUAAUGUGCUAAAAAUUCUUUGUCUCAGUUCAAUCCACAAGCUAUGUUUAAAAUUUGCUGCUGACAUGUAAACCCUAAAAAAAUUGGGACCAGGAUACCUAGCAGAUUGUCUCCACCCAUAUAUGCCCAAUUGACCUUUUGAGAUAUUUAGAGGUGGUGUUGCUUGUCGUAAUGGACGUAGUCGGGGAGGGAGGGCAGCUGCCCCCCUAGAUCAAGUAAAACAAUAAAAAUACUUAAUUACAGAAAAUAAUUCAGCUUAAAUCAUACAAUUACAUCCUAUUGUUAAAAACAUUUGUACUGUGAUAAAAGGUUGCUAGAGAAUUAGUAUUUGUGCUUCAAAGUAGUCUUUAUUACACUGCCUUUGUCCGAGAAGAGCCCUGCCUAAUUAUUUGUUGUUUUUCCAGAUAGCCCUUGGUUCUUGCUCACACACUGAGUAGAGAUUACACUGUCCUAUUAGUCCUUUUAAGGGCCAACGUAUGCCAGUGAUGCCAUGUGUGAACAAUCUGCAGGCACCAUUAGCACUGCUUGACUAGCUCUUGAUAACACUCACUAUGAAGUCAAUUAAAGACGUCAGGAGGUGGGCCAGACUGCUUUCUUUUACUAACAACAAUCCUUAGGGGGUGGAGCACAGGGAUUUGGAGGACAGGUGAUGUUAGCGUUUUCAGUAGGAGAAAGCAAAAACAUCCAGACUGCUUCUCUCUGUUCUUUGGCACAAAUUCCUUUCAUUUUCCCACCUUCCCCUAUUUAAAAACAGGUUUUGACAGAUUUUCCACUUUAUAGGAAGCUGAUGAAAGCCAAGUGACUUCAGUUCACAUUAAGGAAAAUGGAAGCAUGAGGCAGUAGCAAAGAAGUCUGGAGCUUAAAUUAAAAGCUGGCAGGAAAUACCAGACCUUAUUUGGAGCCCUAGUGCUUGGUGUUGAGUACUGUGCACUACACCAUAUUCUUCCAUGAUUAAGUUCUAACUGUUGAAUACUUUUCCAAAUGUAUUUUGGGAAUUAAUGGAACUUUUUUUUUUUUUGCCUGAAAGUAGACAUACCAAUUUCAAGCAAAAAACUGCUGUGCCUACUAUUGGCAUUUGCUGCUGGAUGGUGGUUAAUUUAACUUAUAGGAAGAUUUGUCAGCUUCCUGUUUUAAAAAUACACCCCACCUUAAAACAAUUUACAAUUAUGAAUAUAUGCACAGAUUUUUGCAAACAAGUUAUAUUUAGUUU